UUGGUCUGGGAUAUUAAUAGGGCCUUUUCUUGGUUAGUUUUGUCUUUCUCAUGUGUUGCAUGUAAGGUGUUCAUUGAAGGUUUUGAGAGGUGUUUGGUUAAUUUUUGUUUAAAGAUGUUUGUCAGAUUUUAUGUUUUUUUGUUUUCUAAGGAUUUAAUUGUUUUGUGGGUUGAAGGUGCGCUUCAGAAAAAACCAUUUUUAUCAAAUGAUUUUUGGGAAAAUGAUUAAUGGGACGGGGUUUGAUGAUUUUUGUAUUUGUGUUUGUACAUUUAAUUUUUAAUAGCUUUCAUAAUUGGUUUGGACAUGUUUUUGUUACCUCUAGCUUGGUGUUUUAGUUGAAGCGGAUCAUUUUUACUCUUGUUUUGGUUGUUGUGCAUUGCACUAUGAUUUUUUUUGUUGCUUGUCGGGUUUUUUCGUUGCUUAGAGUUAACAAAUUUGAUUGCUUUCUUGAUUGUGCUUGUUGUAGAUUUUGUUGUUUUUUGUACUUUGAUAUUGCCUUAUUUAUCAAAGUUGUGUCGUAAAUGUUUUUUCUAUUGGUGCUAUGGUUGGUUGAAGCCUACUCGUUUUGUUAGUUCCUGCUUUUUCUACUUUCUUUAUUCUUUUUUUAAUUUUACAGUUCCUCCUUUAUUGUGUUUAUGUUGUUAUUGUAUUAUUUUUGGCUUAUGUUUUUUUC
rnacentral:lncRNA from 1 species